ACCUGACCUUCAUACAGCUUGCCAUAGAAGCAGUAGCAACAGUUGGCAGACUGACUUGAUAUCAGAACAGGAAACCUGCUGGGAGCAUGGAGGAACCCUUGUCCGCAAGGGAUUCAUCUCUGUCUGAACUUGGCAUGUGUUGUGUCACCAGUCACACCACCGUCAUGACUGUUACUUCGUUCUGUUCCCUUUGGAUGUUCUGUUUGAUGAGGCUGGGUUGAAGUACCAGAACGAUAUUGGCCGCGGUUGGAUGAAAUCUUACAGCAGGAGUGCACCAGCACUAGGCAGACUGACGUCCGAGAGAAGACCACUUGUGUCCCUGAUGGUUGGCCGUCCUGUUGCUGAGUGCGUACAUGGAGAAGAGGACUGAAUGCAGCAUGUAAAUUUUGUGUGCCUCUGGAGACGUGGUGCAGUAGGCUGUUAUUUAACCCAUUCGCAGGGGCUUGCUCUGUUGUGAUAAUUG